CCUACGGGUGGCAGCAGUGAGGAAUAUUGGUCAAUGGGCGCGAGCCUGAACCAGCCAAGUCGCGUGCGGGAAGACGGUCCUAUGGAUUGUAAACUUCUUUUGUCGGGGAGCAAACGCCGCCACGCGUGGCGUUCCGAGAGUACCCGACGAAAAAGCAUCGGCUAACUCCGUGCCAGCAGCCGCGGCAAUACGGAGGAUGCGAGCGUUAUCCGGAUUUAUUGGGUUUAAAGGGUUCGCAGGCGGAGGAUCACGUCAGCGGUAAAAUUGAGAGGCUCAACCUCUUCGCGCCUGUGAUACUGGUUUGCUAGAGUGAGUGAGAGGUAGGCGGAAUGCGUGGUGUAGCGGUGAAAUGCUUAGAGAUCACACAGAACUCCGAUUGCGAAGGCAGCAUACC
rnacentral:rRNA from 1 species